UACGAAGGGGGCUAGCGUUGCUCGGAAUCACUGGGCGUAAAGAGCUCGUAGGUGGUUUGUCGCGUUGUCCGUGAAAACUCACAACUCAAUUGUGGGCGUGCGGGCGAUACGGGCAGACUGGAGUACUGCAGGGGAGACUGGAAUUCCUGGUGUAGCGGUGGAAUGCGCAGAUAUCAGGGGGAACACCGGUGGCGAAGGCGGGUCUCUGGGCAGUAACUGACGCUGAGGAGCGAAAGCGUGGGGAGCGAACAGG
rnacentral:rRNA from 1 species